rnacentral:rRNA from 1 species
GGGCCCGCACAAGCGGUGGAGCAUGUGGUUUAAUUCGAUGAUACGCGAGGAACCUUACCAGGGCUUAAAUGUAAUGGGACAGAUUCAGAGAUGAAUUUUUCUUCGGACUCAUUACAAGGUGCUGCAUGGUUGUCGUCAGCUCGUGCCGUGAGGUGUCAGGUUAAGUCCUAUAACGAGCGCAACCCCCAUCGUUAGUUGCCAACGAGUAAUGUCGGGAACUCUAACGAAACUGCCGGUGCAAACCGUGAGGAAGGUGGGGAUGACGUCAAAUCAUCACGGCCCUUACGUCCUGGCUACACACGUGCUACAAUGGUCGGUACAGAGAGCAGCCACUUCGCGAGAAG